rnacentral:rRNA from 1 species
CCUACGGGAGGCAGCAGUGGGGGAUAUUGCACACUGGGGGAAACCCUGAUGCAGCGACGCCGCGUGGGUGAAGAAGCGCCUCGGCGCGUAAAGCCCUGUCAGCAGGGAAGAAAAUGACGGUACCUGAAGAAGAAGCCCCGGCUAACUACGUGCCAGCAGCCGCGGUAAUACGUAGGGGGCAAGCGUUAUCCGGAUUUACUGGGUGUAAAGGGGGCGCAGACGGCGAUGCAAGCCAGGAGUGAAAGCCCGGGGCCCAACCCCGGGACUGCUCUUGGAACUGCGUGGCUAGAGUGCAGGAGGGGCAGGCGGAAUUCCUGGUGUAGCGGUGAAAUGCGUAGAUAGCAGGAGGAACACCGGUGGCGAAGGCGGCCUGCUGGACUGCAACUGACGUUGAGGCCCGAAAGCGUGGGGAGCAAACAGGAUUAGAUACCCCAGUAGUC